GUGUUGAGGAUUGUGACAUGGAGCAUUAGCUGUUGAAGAAAUUUCAGCUAGUGCUCAUGUUACAAUUCCCAUCAUU
rfam:Nicotiana attenuata strain TT scaffold04670, whole genome shotgun sequence.